rnacentral:rRNA from 1 species
AUUGAACGCUGGCGGCAGGCUUAACACAUGCAAGUCGAGCGAGCGGCGGACGGGUGAGUAAUGUCUGGGAAACUGCCUGAUGGAGGGGGAUAACUACUGGAAACGGUAGCUAAUACCGCUUACCAUCAGAUGUGCCCAGAGGGGAUUAGCUAGUAGGUGGGGUAAUGGCUCACAUAGGCGACGAUCCCUAGCUGGUCUGAGAGGAUUACAGGCCACAUGGGAACUGAGACACGGACCAGACGCCUACGGGAGGAAGCAGGGGGGAAUUGUGCACAAGGGGCGAAAGCGUGAUGCGGCAAUGCCGCGUGUGGGAAGAAGGCCUUCGGGUUGUAAAGCACUUGUAGCUGGGAGGCGUGACUCAAAGAAGAAGCACCGGCUAAAUCCGUGCCAGCAGCCGCGGUAAUAC